UACGUAGGGGGCAAGCGUUGUCCGGAAUCAUUGGGCGUAAAGCGCGUGUAGGCGGCUCGGUAAGUCCGCUCUGAAAGCCCGGGGCUCAACCCCGGGAGGCGGGUGGAUACUGCUGAGCUCGAGUCCGGAAGAGGAGUGUGGAAUUCCUGGUGUAGCGGUGAAAUGCGCAGAUAUCAGGAAGAACACCAAUGGCGAAGGCAGCUCUCUGGGACGGUACUGACGCUGAGACGCGAAAGCGUGGGGAGCGAACAGG
rnacentral:rRNA from 1 species